UUUUUGCAAUGAUGCUGGGGUUGAUGAAAGCACUGAUUUUAGAUAAACUAUUCAUUUCUCAUUCCCUCUGGGUUUAAUUCGGUCUCUUUUGGGUAAAUAUUCAAUCAAUUCAAAGUUUAACUCUUCAAUUGUACUUUUUCUCUCAUCCUUCAAGAGGAUCUUCCUGCGAGUUGGUGAGGUCUAGUGUAGUGACUGUACUUUAUCACAAGUCACUAGCUCAGUGCCUGAAACAUAGAAUAGAUCAUCAUUAAAAACUAUUAAUGUCACUGAAACAUCAUUGGCGUUAUCAGAUUUGGAUUAUAAUGUUGAAUACACUGCUUAUGUAACAGCUAGCACCAGAUUUGGUGAUGGGAAAACAAGAAGCAAUAUCAUUAGCUUUCAAACACCAGAGGGAGCACCAAGCGAUCCUCCCAAAGAUGUUUAUUAUGCAAACCUCAGUUCUUCAUCAAUAAUUCUUUUCUGGACACCUCCUUCAAAACCUAAUGGGAUUAUACAAUAUUACUCUGUUUAUUACAGAAAUACUUCAGGUACUUUUAUGCAGAAUUUUACACUCCAUGAAGUAACCAAUGACUUUGACAGUAUGACUGUAUCCACAAUUAUAGAU
rnacentral:sRNA from 1 species